ACCGGCGGACGGGUGCGUAACGCGUAUGCAACCUGCCUGACACAGGGCAUAACACUGAGAAAUUGGUACUAAUUCCCCAUAAUAUUCGGAGAGGCAUCUCUCCGGGUUGAAAACUCCGGUGGUUAUAGAUGGACAUGCGUUGUAUUAGCUAGUUGGUGAGGUAACGGCUCACCAAGGCAACGAUACAUAGGGGGACUGAGAGGUUAACCCCCCACACUGGUACUGAGACACGGACCAGACUCCUACGGGAGGCAGCAUG
rnacentral:rRNA from 1 species